rnacentral:rRNA from 1 species
AAAUCCGCUUUGAUAAUGCUGGGAUGUGAUGGGGAGCGAAAUUUAGUAGCGAAGUAGCUGAUUUCACACUGUCAAGAAAAGUCUCUAUCGAGGUUAAAGGUACCCGUACCGCAAACCGACACAGGUGGGUGAGGGGAGUAUCCUAAGGCCAGCGAGAGAACUGUUGUUAAGGAACUCGGCAAAAUGACCCCGUAACUUAGGGAUAAGGGGUGCCACCAUCAGGUGGCCGCAGAGAAUAGGCCCAAGCGACUGUUUACCAAAA